AUUCCAGCUCCAAUAGCGUAUAUUAAAGUUGUUGCGGUUAAAAAGCUCGUAGUUGGAUUUCUGGCAGGAGUGACUGACCACAAACUCUGUUUGUGAGUUGUGUCAUUCUGGCCAUCCUUGGUAAGAUCCUUUUUGGCAUUAAGUUGUCGGGGAGGGGAUGACCAUCGUUUACUGUGAAAAAAUUAGAGUGUUUAAAGCAGGCUUAUGCCGUUGAAUAUAUUAGCAUGGAAUAAUAAGAUAGGACUUUGAGUCUAUUUUGUUGGUUUGCGAGUCAAAGUAAUGAUUAAUAGGGACAGUUGGGGGUAUUCGUAUUUCAUUGUCAGAGGUGAAAUUCUUGGAUUUCUGAAAGACGAACUACUGCGAAAGCAUUUACCAAGGAUGUUUUCAUCG
rnacentral:rRNA from 1 species